UGUUAGGGAGGUACAAGUUAGAAAUUUUCAUUUUUCCUUUCUCUCUCUAAGCCCAGUACUCCACCAUCUCUUUUUUUUUUCUCUUGUAUAUGAUUUGAAGGUUUAAAUAAAAGAAGGCAAAUAGUCUCCGUUAAUCACUAUUUCGGUCUUGCAUCCGACCAAAUUUAAGGGCUCGAUUGUGAUAAAAUUGGACGUGCUUUGAUGCACUAAUAAGGAGAUUUAUGAUUAUGGAAGAACUUGGAGUGACAUGCUGAACACGAAGACACUUGGAAAAGGUUCAGAAAUAAUGGAAUGCAGUGGGGAAAAUUAUGAGUCAGAUGGCAAUUUCCAGUGAGGGUCCAGAAUAGCCCCGCACCACAGACCCUAAUUUUCGUUAUGACCUCCGCGUCAUGGAGUAUGACUGAUUUAUAAAGCCAAUUUCCAGUGAAGGUCUGUGAUGGGCCCGAGCCGCGAACCCUAGUGUCCAUAAUGAACUUCGUAGUGUAGUGAAGAUGAAUUUUUGAGUAGAUUGUGCCUCACUAUAAAAGGAAGACGUAAACAUAAAUUGGAUCAUCUUUUCACACGGAUCGCAAAGGCAAAAACAAAUACGAGAGUUCUAUUCGGGUUCUUUGAAUUUUCAUAUUUCAACAAUUAACUUUAGUAUGAUUAAUUACAUUUUGUUGAUGUUGAUUUGGAACAUGAGUGGGUAAAAACCCUUGUUCUUGGAUUGAGGCCAAGGACAUGUUAUAUUUUGUUAUUCUUAGAGUGGUUAACAUUGAUUUAUCGUAUGGAUUAUUCUUAUUC